CAUAUGACUACUGGCAGGAUCAACCAGGUAGCAUUCCUUUGGGACAUGCACACACACUCGCAUGAGCCCCGCCAAACCGUGAGGCUGCGAGCUCAAAGACGAGCGUGGCCGUCGUUCGUGCUUUAGGUAGUUUUCCAUUGCUUCAUUGGAUGGAGGCCUCCGAGAGACCACCCACCAAUAGCACACGACAUUCCGUAUCAAAGAGCACGGGCAAAGAACCUCAUGGGCCAAAGCAGCUGCCUGAUUGGGCAAAGCAUGCUGGGAACACGAGGCUUGCCUAACGUCCACCCAAUCGCCCAUUAGGGAACGGGAUAGAGAGAAACAAACGAACCAUCGAAUUCCUUCCAACAGGGUAAGCAACACAG
rnacentral:misc_RNA from 1 species